AAUAUUGGACAAUGGGGGCAACCAUGAUCCAGCCAUCCGGCGUGCAGGAAGACGGCCCUAUGGGUUGUAAACUGCUUUUGUACAGGAAGAAACCCUUGGAUUUAUCUAAGGUUGACGGUACUGUAAGAAUAAGCGCCGGCUAACUCCGUGCCAGCAGCCGCGGUAAUACGGAGGGUGCAAGCGUUAUCCGGAAUCACUGGGUUUAAAGGGUGCGUAGGUGGUCUUAUAAGUCAGAUGUGAAAGCUCCCAGCUUAACUGGGAAAUUGCAUUUGAUACUGUGGGACUUGAAUUAUGUUGAGAUUAACGGAAUGAGUCAUGUAGCGGUGAAAAGCAUAGAUAGAUCUUAGAACACCAAUUGCGAAGGCACCUCGCUAGGCAUAUAUUGACGCUGAGGCACGAAAACAUGGGGAGAGAACACGAUUAGAUACCCCGGUAGUCCACGCCCUA
rnacentral:rRNA from 1 species